rnacentral:misc_RNA from 1 species
AUGGUGGUUAUGGUAGUUAUGGUGUUGGUGGAUAUGGAGCUGGGAACACCGGGUUUGGUGGUCCAACAGGGGCAUAUGGAAUGCCUGGUGCCCUGAAAAAUAAUUGGGGUGGCCAAGUUCCUUCCAAUUAUGGUGGGUCAGGUUAUGGUGCAAAUGCAAGUUAUGGGGCCACAGCUCCAUGGAGUGCAUCUGGUGGUGGCAAUCCUGCUUCAGCUCCUAUGGGUCAAUCUCCAGGAGGAACUUCUGG